UCAAAAUGAUGAAAUUCCACUUAAUUGGUCCGUGUUUCUGAAAUUAGGGAGGUCUGGUUGA
rnacentral:snoRNA from 1 species